rnacentral:rRNA from 2 species
CUACGCUGCGAUAAGCCGUGGGGAGCUGCGAAGAAGCUUUGAUCCACGGAUUUCCGAAUGGGGAAACCCACCUUCGAUAGCCGGAACUCCAAGAUCUUGAGAUUUAGACACCUUGUGUUUUGGGGUUCGACCAGAAAUGCGAGAAAUCAAACCGCGAGGUUUUGGAUUUCCGGUUAUCAAGAGAAGGUAUGAGACUUCUGAAUAAAAUAGGAGGUUUCAAGCGAACCCAGGGAACUGAAACAUCUAAGUACCUGGAGGAAAGGACAUCAAUCGAGACUCCGUUAGUAGUGGCGAGCGAACGCGGACCAGGCCAGUGAUACAUCAAAGACAACCGGAACCUGUCAGGAAAGCAGGGCCUCAGAGGGUGAUAGCCCCGUACGGGUAAUGCGAUGAUGUAUCCUUGAGUAAGGCGGGACACGUGUAAUCCUGUCUGAACAUGGGGGGACCACCCUCCAAGCCUAAGUACUCCUCAGCGACCGAUAGU